UCUUGUCGGGAGGAGCCUAGGCUGGUUUCUCCGCCCCGCUCCCCGCCCAGGCUGCAGUAAACAGGGCCUGAACUCUCGGGCCUGCGGGUUAGGGCUGAGAGUCUGAGGACAAGGCGCUGGCUUUGCUAAUCACGUCACAAGACCUUGAGCCAGGGCCAAAGGCGCUGAGCGGCGCGGGGCGUCCCAGGCGGGGGAGUCUACAGAGCAGACUGGAGGAAAGGACGGCAGAGACGCGCAGGCAUGGAGGCGACUUCCCGCCAAAUCGUCCGUCUGCUGAAAGGCCAGCAGCCUCAGACAAGCCAAAGUCCUUUCCUCCUGAAUGCGCAAUCUCGUGAACUCCACCGUCUUCAAAAACUCAGCGGUGGGUGGCAGCCCUUCCAAGAGCUGGGAAAGGAGGUGGCGCUGCUCUGACGCUGUCCUUUGAAGAUGGCGGAGCCGGUCGGGGCUGAGGGGAUGCGAGCUGCACUUGGAGAGGAGGCGAUAGAGAUGCUUGUAGAGGUAUUUUACAAAGAUCAGGGUCUCGGCCCAAAAGUUGACUUCUGCUUUUUCAAACAGGCAGUCUUCUUCUACCUAAAUCAAAUGAAAAAGCCGAAAGUCAACCUUCCAGGGGGUGUUCACAAGCCCCAGUCCAGGGCAGAGUCCUACCAGACACAGAAGAGGUGUGUCCCCUCCCCCACCAGAGAGAGGGCCCACUCUCGCCUGUCAACACCAGCGGACACGAACCGCUUGCAGCCUUGAAGGUCACCUUCUAUUUUCACUUUUUGUGCUUCUCGACUGGAGAGGAAUUUUUUUCUCUAGACUUAACAUGACCUUUGAUAAAGAUGUGUUUGUGGUUCCAAGCCAAGAUAUUUGGGGGGCCUGGUGCUGAAAAGGGGACCUCAACAUGGCAGCAGGCCCUAGACCUAAAAGGUAUAUCUAGAAAUCAGCAAGGAGGGAGGAAGGGAACUCUCAGCAGCAGAAUGAACGGCAGAUCACCAAACUCGAGACAUUAACUAGUUUCUGAGUAUGACAUCAAAUUUCUACAACAUCGGGCAUUUGCAAGGUCAUUUUAUCACAGACACUUCAUCUUGUGUCUGAAUUUCCCAUAAACCAGCUGCUUUUUGAACUCCCGGCCUGCUGGUGACGCCAAGAAAGGCAUCUGAGUCAGGCACUGGUGAAUAUGAACUUGAAGUUCUCAAGCAGCCUUUGCUGCUUGUCUUAGACCUCGGUUUUCCUAUAUGUUGACUAGUCUCUCACCAGGAGGGGCUAAUAGUUUUCUUCAAGCAGCAAAUACCUUGGAAGGGCCCUGAUUCUCUGGAAAUGUUUCACUUUCAGAUGUAACCAUGGAGAGCCCCUGGCUCCUCCAAUGUUGACUAGUAAGGGUCCUCCAUAAUUCACCUCUCAACUUCCAAGGAGCCUCUUUCAAAGUCCUCCCUCUGCAUAGACCAGAACCCCAAAAGCCAGCAUGACAGCUGUCCCAGCAGCACCCAGCAGGCUGCCGGGGUCAUCUGGAGAGUUUCCUAACUGGCUGUUGCUCUGAGCAUCCAGAAGCACUGUUUCUGCGGGCACUUCAGGCCCAAGGAAGCCGGUUAGGUGCUGCACCCAGCAGGUUUAGGGCACUCCAAGCUCACCUCCACCUCCCUGAGACCCUAGGACUACCUGAGGCUCGCUCUCCGCACAGACCGGGAGGUCAUCACUGUCUUCCAACAGCCACCCCAGCAGGACUGGGAGCCCAGAGGCCAGCCGGUCCCACUGCUGGAGCAGGUCACACAGCACAACCAGGGCCAGAUCCAGGGCGAUGGAGGCAUCCACCUGGCAGAAGGCAAAUUCUGUGGAAAUGAGAGAGAGGCAAGGACUGAAAGCCCCACAGGGAAGAAAAAAACUUUCCUGUACCAGCAAAUUCAGUGCCUGCAGCUCAGGUAACACUCCUGUUGGGUCCAUCAAAGGCACACGGAGCUGACCAGAGAUGCCACCAGGAAGGCCAGACUGCCACACGCUUGGGAUGUGGUAGGAGAGUGUUGGGAACGGCAGAGGCACAAAAGGAGCACCGGCGCGCUGGCCACAGGUGGAUCCAGGUUUCACUACGGCUUUCCAGAAAAUGCCAUCAUUUCCAGUCUUCUCUGCAGACUUCCUCGCUUCUCUCAGCUGGGCAAGAGCCUGUAUUUUAAUUAGUCAUGAGAAAUGAGUGUGGAACUGAAGCCUGGUUCAGCUGCUGACUUUGCCACUCAACUCCCCCAGAGGCUUCCAGAGCCUCUCUGCACUGCCCCCCAACCCCGGCCUCUCCUGACCCUCCACCUCCAGAGCCCAGGGCUCUCCGCUCUUCGGGGCCAUCUGAGCCAGGGCCCAGAGGUGGGGUUCCAGGUAUGGAAAUCUGGGAGAGCACUUCGAGGCUAUACCAUCAAAGGUCAUCAUCUCAGCCUUUACCACUCAAGGUGACCUCUCCCUGCAACAAGUGGCCCAGACAAAGGUCAGUGUCCCAGUGAAUGGAAAGGGGUGGCACCUCCAGAUUUGAAGAACCAGCAGGAAGCCUGCGUGGGGAGCCAUGGGUAUUUGUGGUGUCUUUCUUCAUCUGAAUAUUGAAACAGUUUUCUCAAAGGAGAACCGGAUGUGCCAGUCAGUGCUCCCAACGGCACAGCAGCCCCAGCACGCACUGCACCCACUCACUGAGCCUGCUGCCCACCCACUCACCGCUCCAGGUCGCUGUCCUUGGACUUCAGCCAGACCUUCCCCCACUCCCAUCCUGGCUGGAGGGGAUGCAAACCUCACGUGGCCCAGGUGGAUCCCUUUCCUCCUGCUUCUUUCUGUCCCAAAGACAGCACGUGUGGAGGCAGCACCCCACCGAUGCCUGCAGCUCCGGGGCUCUAGGCCCCCGGAGACCCACCUGAAGCAGCUGGACGGAGGUGCAAAGAAACUGUUCAGUCUUCACACAGGUUUGCAACCGCUCACAUGGUUUUUUGAAAAAUCAGGAGGUUUCUCGUAAAACCCCAAAUCUCUAGUAUCUUUUGAACAUUCAGAAAAUCAGAACCUGGUGUCUCUGGGUCUGCAUUUUAAUGUGCUAACAGGUGCCUUGUGAAAACCAGUGACCACACCCUACCAGAGGUGCCUGUGCAUCUAACUGGGGACUACCCCACCGCCUCCCGCCUCACCCCUGUAGGCAAUGUGAGUCUGUGACCCCACAUGGGGGCACUGAGGAAGACCCCUGUCCUAGCGCCCCAAGCCGGCCCCUUACCUUUGCUGACCAGACACUGGGAUUCCUGGCCAAAGCUCUCCUCUCAUCAGUCUCCCCCACCGCUCCCUGGGCCUACCCUUACGGCUUUGAUUUACUCACCAUUCCCCGACCUUCCUCCUCACCUAGACCUAGCCAGACCUACUUGUGCCUCGGGACCCGACCCAGGUCCUGUGCUCGGGAUUUCUCCAGCCCAUCCGCACCUUUCUCUGCUCACAGCUGCAUGGCACUCGACACUGUGUUUGUGGGUGGCAGGGGAGGGUGUUCAGUGGCUUCCCCAGCGUCACUGCGCUGCCACACCUGGCACAUGGCAGAUAUUACCCACUGGGCCCUUGCUUAGGGGCUUGUGCUAAGCAACUGACUCAGGACUCACGUUUCCCCAAUGGGAAAACUCCAAGAUGACAAGAACCAGGUCACAUACGUAAACAGAAUGAUUGUUGCCAUUUCACAUUCAAGGUUAUUACUAAGGUAUAGAGAAGCAAGUUGUAAAGGGGGAGGGCCAGAUACAAACCCAUACUGGGCAUGGGGGGUUUCAGGUUCACCUACUCCUUCAUUCUGGGCAACUGAGUUUCUUUCUCACUCAGUUCUUCCCCCACCUCAGUCCAGUACUUUCCAGUGGCCCCAAGUCCUCUCAGCACCCCGCCCCCACCCCCACCACGACUGCCUUUCUCCUGACAGCACCUCCUGCUUCCUCAGUUUAAUUCCCUCGGCUUCUUUCAAGACCUAGUAGAAUGAGAUCAAUGUGUCUUGGCAAGUGGGAAUGGGGUGGUAUCCACCUACUAUUCCUGGUCAGAGCAGACCCGGGAGAAUGUUUAUCCAGGAAAGGUCUCUAGUUCCUCAAAAAGUUAAACACAGAACUACCAUAUGAUGCAGCAGUGCCUCUCCCAGGUAUAUGAAACCAUGUCCUCGGAGAAAAGCUUGCACACGAGAGUUCACAGCAGCACCCCCCAACAGCCAAAAGGUAGAAACCACCCCAAUGUCCAUCAGUGGAUGACUGCACAAACAAAGCGUGGCGCGUCCACUCAACAGAAUUAGGCAGAAAAAGAAACGAAGUGCUGAUGUGUGCUAUGAUGUGGUGGAACCAUGUACACAUUAUACCUAGUAAAAAGCCAGGCACGGAUGUCA